UGGGGAAUUUUUCGCAAUGGGGGAAACCCUGACGAAGCAACGCCGCGUGGAGGAUGAAGGCCUUCGGGUCGUAAACUCCUGUCGACCGGGACGAACGUAGUCCGACCCAAUACGUCGGGCUAUCGACUGUACCGGUAAAGGAAGCUCCGGCUAACUCUGUGCCAGCAGCCGCGGUAAUACAGAGGGAGCAAGCGUUGUUCGGAAUUACUGGGCGUAAAGGGCGCGUAGGCGGUCUUGCAAGUCCUGUGUGAAAUCCCUCGGCUCAACUGAGGAACUGCACAGGAAACUGCUUGGCUUGAGUUCGGGAGAGGGAAGCGGAAUUCCGGGUGUAGCGGUGAAAUGCGUAGAUAUCCGGAGGAACACCGGUGGCGAAGGCGGCUUCCUGGACCGACACUGACGCUGAGGCGCGAAAGCUAGGGGAGCAAA
rnacentral:rRNA from 1 species